rnacentral:rRNA from 1 species
GACGAACGCUGGCGGCGUGCUUAACACAUGCAAGUCGAACGGAAAGGCCCUGCUUUUGUGGGGUGCUCGAGUGGCGAACGGGUGAGUAACACGUGAGUAACCUGCCCUUGACUUUGGGAUAACUUCAGGAAACUGGGGCUAAUACCGGAUAGGAGCUCCUGCUGCAUGGUGGGGGUUGGAAAGUUUCGGCGGUUGGGGAUGGACUCGCGGCUUCUCCGCCGGUUGGUGGGGUAGUGGCUUACCAAGGCUUUGACGGGUAGCCGGCCUGAGAGGGUGACCGGCCACAUUGGGACUGAGAUACGGCCCAGACUCCUACGGGAGGCAGAAGUGGGGAAUAUUGCACAAUGGGCGGAAGCCUGAUGCAGCAACGCCGCGUGCGGGAUGACGGCCUUCGGGUUGUAAACCGCUUUCGCCUGUGACGAAGCGUGAGUGACGGUAAUGGGUAAAGAAGCACCGGCUAACUACGUG